AUGCAACAGGCUUCCUCCCAGGAGGAAGCCUCCCCUCCUGGCAUGAUCUCAGCUCACUGCAACCUCUGCCUCCUGGGUUCAAGCGAUUCUCCUGCCUCAGCCUCCCAAAUAGCUGAGAUUACAGGCAUGCACCACCAUGCCCAGCUAAUUUUUGUGUUUUUAGUAGAGACUGGGUUUCACCAUGUUGGCCAGGCUGGUCUCGAACUCCUGACCUCAGAUAAUCUGCCCACCUCGGCCUCCCAGAGUGCCGGGAUUAUAGGUGUGAGCCACCGCGCCCAGCCCCACCUGUUUCUUAUACAACGGGGUUCUGAGGAAAUUUUCCUUUUUUUUUUUUUUUUUUUUUGAGACAGGGUCUUGCUCGCUUUGUCACCCAGGCUGGAGCGCAGUGGUACAAUCACAGCUUGCUGCAGCCUCCACCUGCCAGGGCUCACACAGUCCUCCCAUCUCAGCCUCCCAAAUAG
rnacentral:lncRNA from 1 species